UGGUUGGUAUGGUAUGGUUGGUAUG
rnacentral:miRNA from 1 species